GAUGAACGCUGGCGGCGUGCCUAAUACAUGCAAGUCGAGCGAACGGACGAGAAGCUUGCUUUUCUGAUGUUAGCGGCGGACGGGUGAGUAACACGUGGGUAACCUACCUAUAAGACUGGGGUAACUUCGGGAAACCGGAGCUAAUACCGGGUAAUAUUGUGAACCGCAUGGUUCAAAAGUGAAAGACGGUCUUGCUGUCACUUAUAGAUGGAUCCGCGCUGCAUUAGGUAGUUGGUAAGGUAACGGCUUACCAAGGCAACGAUGCAUAGCCGACCUGCGAGGGUGAUCGGCCACACUGGAACUGAGACACGGUCCAGACUCCUACGGGAGGCAGCAGUAGGGAAUCUUCCGGAAUGGGCGAAAGCCUGACGGAGCAACGCCGCGUGAGUGAUGAAGGUCUUCGGAUCGUAAAACUAUGUUAUUAGGGAAGAACAUAUGUGCAAGUAACUGUGCGCAUCUUGACGGUACCUAAUCAGAAAGCCACGGCUAACUACGUG
rnacentral:rRNA from 1 species